GGCCGGUUAGCUCAGUCGGUUAGAGCGUGGUGCUGAUAACACCAAGGUCGUGGGUUCAAUUCCCCUUCGGUCC
rnacentral:tRNA from 1 species